rnacentral:rRNA from 1 species
UACAGAGGGCGCGAGCGUUGUCCGGAAUCACUGGGCGUAAAGGGCGCGUAGGUGGCCACCAUAAGGCCGCGGUGAAAGUUCGGGGCUCAACCCCGGAUCGGCCGCGGCGACUGUGGGGCUCGGGUACUGUAGAGGCAGAUGGAAUUCCGGGUGUAGCGGUGGAAUGCGUAGAGAUCCGGAAGAACACCAGUGGCGAAGGCGGUCUGCUGGGCAGUUGCUGACACUGAUGCGCGACAGCGUGGGGAGCAAACAGG